UUUUUGGUAAACAAUUUAAUUCAACACACUUUAAAAUUUAAUUAGAGAACCAAUCAAAAUUAAAAUUAGAAAUUAGUACUAAGGAAGGACAAAACUAAAUAAUAAUAAUAAGAAGAAUAAAACAAUUGGUGGCCCACACCAACUUUACUAAUUUCACAACUUUCUUCUUUCCUCUUUCCUUCUUUCUUCUUCUCACGAUUUCUCCCUUCUUCCUCCUCUUCUUAUUCCUCAACCUUCUUAUCUCCUUCUUCUAUUUCAGGCCGUGGAGGUUGCUGCAUCACAUGAUGUUAUCAGAGCCUCGGGCUCGCUGUCGAGGUCAGAUUGUGGGCCGUGCCAUUUGAGUUUCGUCUGUCGGGAGUUGUGACUGGGUUGCGCCAAAGUUGUUCGCGGUUUCGCGCGAUGGCCCUUCGCCGGAGGUUGUGCGCAUCGAUGGGGAUCUCGCCGGAGAUUACAGUGUGAUGAAUAUUGCCGCAAUCGGUCUUACUCGACCGGGUUUCAUACCAUUGUGACCGGGUGGACAAGCUUGAGGAAGAUUUGGGGAAGAUUGUGCCCGGUGGUAAACCGGCCGGGCCGUAUGUGUAUUUUGAUCGACUAUGGGUGGAAAAGAGAGGAAAGGACGAGGGGGAAGGGGGAAAAACCGGGUAGGAGUAGGUGGCACCUGACCGGGCUUCAAAGGACUUGAACCAGGUAUGUGACCGAGCCGUGUAAUAAAGUAUCAUUCAGCCAAGUAGAGUUUAACCUUAUCACUAAAACAUCAAACUAGAAAUGUGAGGGGAGAAAAUUCUUCUUUAGGCUUAGAGCUAAGUAUCUAAACAAUAAUGAGGCAAUGAAAACAUAAGAGUUGGACUCUAUUUUUCCAAGUCUUGAGUUUGAAAACGAUUUUGUUGUUAUAUUGUUUUAUUUUAUUAAGUUUGCUAUGAUGGGUAGAGAGAGGAAAAAGCAAAUGGAUUUUGAAAAUUUAGUGAUCGUAAACGAUUGGAAUAGAUUUUGUAAUGAAGAUUGGAGCAAGAAAAUUUUUACCAAUACAAUUAAACGAUUCAAACAAGGAUUGAAAGAUAAAGCAUAGGCUUAUAAAGACAAUGUAGAUGGAAAAGAAUAGAUGUACAGUCUGUACGGGUUUCCCCAUGCUUUUUAGGUAACUUAAUUAGCAUUUCAUAUAGGCAUGGGCAUAUGAAACGAUUUCAUCAUUAUCCGAAGCAAACAGAUUGAAUGACAAUGCGAUACCACGCAUUUUGAGAUGGCCGUGCUCACAUUCUCCUGGAGUGAUUAGAGACGAAGUCUUUGGGUCUGGCGCAUGCAAAGAAGUACAAAAGUAUACCAAUUCCCAGCCGGGCGCAUGCAAAUUGGCGCAAAUUCCCGGCCGAGCGCAUGCACAAAAACAGCAAAUAUGUACCAAGUUCACAAAAAUCUCAUCCAAAUUCACAAAAACAUCAUCCAAAAUAAAAAAAAAUUUAUACUUCACUCGAUAGUAUUAAAAGGUUGAUUGCAUAUCGUUUUGUUGUGACCCCGUUGCCCACAUCUAGAACACCUAUGGACUUGACGAAAUUCACCUAUAGAAGAAAAUCUUGUUGUUCGUGGGCGAUCUACUCUUGGAACUCUUUUUGGAGGCAAUGUUUCAACAUCGACGAAGGUCGAUGAUUGUUUUCACUCCAAAAAGUGUCCAAAUGAUCGUAUAGGUUCAACAUACGCAACCAACACUGUAUCAAUAGAGUAUACCCAUGAACAAAGAGAGGUAGGAUCAAUAUUCCAAACCCUACAUGCAACAAUGACGUGUGAACAAGGGAUUUCAUAAUAAUCAAACUUGCGACAAGUGCAUGUUCUUGUAUGAAUAUUGACACGACCUCCCAAACCUCCAUCUAUCACCUCAAAUUCAUGUUGGUCAAUUGGCCGAACUUCAUAUUUGCUCACUUUGUCUGCCGUGUCAUGAAUUAUUGACAUCACAUAGUCUGACAGUCUUGACGUAUUGUUUGAUGCAUCCGUUCGACGUCUGUAAUACAAGUCCUGUAACCAACAUUUAAUAUGGUCUAGAAAUGAAGUGAUUGGUAA